rnacentral:rRNA from 1 species
CCGCGAAUCGCCCUUCGGGGUGCACCAGGCGCGAAAACUUUACAAUGCUGGCAACAGCGAUAAGGGGACCUCGAGUGCCAGGAUACAAUCUUGGCUGUCGCGAUGCCUAAAAAGCAUUGCAUAGCAAGGGCCGGGCAAGACCGGUGCCAGCCGCCGCGGUAACACCGGCGGCUCGAGUGGUAACCGCUAUUAUUGGGUCUAAAGGGUCUGUAGCCGGCCGGAUAAGUCUUUUGGGAAAUCCAGCUGCUCAACAGUUGGGCUUUCAGAAGAUACUGUUCGGCUCGAGACCGGGAGAGGUGAGAGGUACUUCAGGGGUAGGGGUGAAAUCUUGUAAUCCUUGAAGGACCACCAGUGGCGAAGGCGUCUCACCAGAACGGAUCUGACGGCAAGGGACGAAAGCUAGGGGCACGAACCGGAUUAGAUACCCGGGUAGUCCUAGCCGUAAACGAUACUCGCUAGGUGUCAGCCACGGUGCGACCGUGGUUGGUGCCGUAGGGAAGCCGUGAAGCGAGCCACCUGGGAAGUACGGCCGCAAGGCUGAAACUUAAAGGAAUUGGCGGGGGAGCAC